rnacentral:misc_RNA from 1 species
GAUAAAAGUCGUAACAAGGUUUCCGUAGGUGAACCUGCGGAAGGAUCAUUAUUGUAUAACCGAGGUGCGAGGGCUGUCGCUGACCCGAAAGGUCGUGCACGCCCGAGUGCCCUCACACACAUCCAUCUCACCCCUAUGUGCACCACCGCGUGGGUCCCCCUUUGGCUUGUUCGGAGGGGGGCUUACGUUUUCACACAAACUUUGUAUGCAGUGUAGAAUGUAUUUUUUGUUUUUGCGAUCACGCAAUCAAUACAACUUUCAACAACGGAUCUCUUGGCUCUC